GGUACUGAGGGACAUGUAAAAAGGCAUUGUUGAAACUUCAUGGAAAGCCUCGGAAUGGGCAAGGGUCUAAAAGAUAUGCCUAUGUUGCCACUAAAGAUGGUCUCUUACCUACUCCUUCCAUGGUUACUAUUCCUGCUGAUGAGUAUGCUUGCCUCACACAGGUUGCUAGUCUUCUGUCAUCCAUUCCAUCGACUGUUGCUACAUUGACACAGUUAGGUAAUCCUAGAGCUUGUUGUCUACUUCUAGUUGCAAUUGGGUCAUUGAUUCUGGUGUUACUCACAAUAUGAUAAGUGAUACAGGUAUCCUUUCGUCAUUCACAUCAUCUUCUGAUUUGUCUUCAGUUACUUUAGCAAAUGGGUCUACUGUGUCUAUUAUAGUGUGGAUCUUGGGAUGAAGCGGAUUAUUGGUAGGGGUCAUGUUUUGGGUGGCUUGUACGUGCUUGCUGACAUUUCUACUCCAGUGCCAUAGCCUGUUGCUUGUACUAGUGAUUCAUCCAUGUCCAUCUUCCACGGUCGAUUAGGACAUCCUCCUCUCCCAAUCUUGAAGAAAUUGUGUCCCAGUUUAGAGUCAGUGUCACAUUUUAAGUGUGAGUCAUGUUAACUUCAUAAACACCAUUGAGCGUCAUACAGUUCUUGUUAGGAAACGAUCUAACUCAUGGCAACGAAAAACAAAAAUUUUAAAGCACAGAUCGUUCCCAUUAAGCUAAGAUUAAGGCACAUAUUAUACAAUUUAUAUGUUAAAUCAAAAUCUGCAGUAUUAUGAACGAUCAGAGUAAACUUUAGAAUUUA